GAUUAACGCUGGCGGCGUGCCUAACACAUGCAAGUCGAACGAUGAAACUUUAAUGAACCCUUCGGGGAGAAUUAAAGCGGAUUAGUGGCGAACGGGUGAGUAACGCGUGAGUAACCUGCCUUACACAAGGGGAUAGCCUUUGGAAACGAAGAAUAAUACCCUAUAAAACCAUAAAAGCACAUGCAAUUAUGGUCAAAGUGAUAGCGGUGUAAGAUGGACUUGCGUCUGAUUAGCUAGUUGGUGAGAUAAAAGCCCACCAAGGCAACGAACAGUAGCCGGCUUGAGAGAGUGUACGGCCACAUUGGGACUGAGACACGGCCCAGACUCCUACGGGAGGCAGCAGUGGGGAAUUUUGCACAAUGGGGGAAACCCUGAUGCAGCGACGCCGCGUGAUUUAGAAGGCCUUCGGGUUGUAAAAAUCUUUUGUAUAGGAAGAAAAUGACAGUACUAUACGAAUAAGGUCCGGCUAAUUACGUG
rnacentral:rRNA from 1 species